UACGUAGGGGGCAAGCGUUAUCCGGAUUUACUGGGUGUAAAGGGAGCGUAGGCGGCAAGGUAAGCCAGAAGUGAAAGCCCGCGGCUCAACUGCGGGACUGCUUUUGGAACUAUCUAGCUAGAUUGCAGGAGAGGUAAGUGGAAUUCCUAGUGUAGCGGUGAAAUGCAUAGAUAUCACGCAGAACCCCGAUUGCGAAGGCAGCAUGCCGGCUUCCUACUGACGCUGAAGCACGAAAGCGUGGGGAUCGAACAGG
rnacentral:rRNA from 1 species